rnacentral:rRNA from 1 species
AUUGAACGCUGGCGGCAUGCCUUACACAUGCAAGUCGAACGGCAGCACGGGAGCAAUCCUGGUGGCGAGUGGCGAACGGGUGAGUAAUAUAUCGGAACGUGCCCAGUCGUGGGGGAUAACGCAGCGAAAGCUGUGCUAAUACCGCAUGAGAUCUAUGGAUGAAAGCGGGGGAUCGCAAGACCUCGCGCGAUUGGAGCGGCCGAUAUCAGAUUAGGUAGUUGGUGGGGUAAAGGCUCACCAAGCCGACGAUCUGUAGCUGGUCUGAGAGGACGACCAGCCACACUGGAACUGAGACACGGUCCAGACUCCUACGGGAGGCAGCAGUGGGGAAUUUUGGACAAUGGGCGCAAGCCUGAUCCAGCAAUGCCGCGUGCAGGAUGAAGGCCUUCGGGUUGUAAACUGCUUUUGUACGGAACCAAAAGGCUCUGGUUAAUACCUGGGGCACAUGACGGUACCGUAAGAAUAAGCACCGGCUAACUACGUGCCAGCAGCCGCCGUAACAC